CUUGAGCGAACCGAGCCACAACGGCCGACGCCUGCCCUGGCCGUAGGUGGCGAUCAGCGCCUGCGCCUC
rnacentral:antisense_RNA from 1 species